AAUCUGAGUAAUAAUCUAGUUUAAAAGACUGAAAUCUGAGUAAUAAUCUAGCUUAGAGGACUAAAAUCUGAGAAAUAAUUAUUAGAGGACUAAAAUCUGAGUAAUAAUCUAGCUUAGGGGACUGAUAGGCAUACGACAAUGUCACAGGUAGUGUAAAUACUCUGUAAACAGUUGUAGUUUACAUCUGCCAUGAACGUCCUGUCUUCAGUCUAACCUAUAUUUAUGUUUUUUUUAAGUUACUCUUCCAAAGAAUUUGAUUUAUAUAUACUAGAAAUUCUAUUGGUGUACGUUUUACACCCUAUCCAUGAAAAUAUGAAAUAAAAAGUAUUUUUAAUACUAAGAAAUUUUCUUUACUCUGGAUAUAUAUAGAUAGAUAGAGUGAGAGCUAUGAUCUGUUGUAAAAAUGUAUGCACUUUUUGAAACAUAACUGACAGUGUGAAGAAACUGGAAUUAUGGGUAAUGUGUAUGUAAUGGUAUCCUAAGCCUAAUUCCAUAACACUUUUGUAAUUUCAACAUUGUGUUUGUAUAGGUUGCAGGAAUAUUAUAGUUGAAUUGAAGUAAAAAUUAGUCAAUAAUUCAUUAGUAUACUGAAAACAAAUCUUGGUUGUGGUGUGUUUUUGCUGAUAACAUUUAACGUUGAGUAUUUUUGUUUUUGGCCUUCUGAAUUGAUUGAAAGACAAUUGAAAAUUGUACUGUUUUCAACUGAUAGAUACGAGAUGCUACAGUAGUGAUGUAUAUAUAGUCAAAUAUAAUUCUUGUGAUUAAUUGUGACUGGUGUACAUACUUCGUUAAUGUUAGUUACUUGAAGUAUUUAUUGUAGCUAAUACUUCAUUUUAUUUUAGGAAGAGCACAAAUUCCGUCCAGUAUUUAUUGAUUUGAGUGAUCUUGAAUAAAAAUAUGCAUAAAAAGCGUACUUGUA